rnacentral:rRNA from 1 species
UGGGGAAUAUUGGGCAAUGGACGAAAGUCUGACCCAGCUAUGCCGCGUGAAUGAUGAAGGCCUUAGGGUUGUAAAGUUCUUUUACCGGGGAAGAUGAUGACGGUACCCGGAGAAAAAGCUCCGGCUAACUUCGUGCCAGCAGCCGCGGUAAUACGAAGGGAGCAAGCGUUGCUCGGAUUUAUUGGGCGUAAAGGGUGUGUAGGUGGUUUGAUAAGUUAGAUGUGAAAGCCCUGGGCUCAACCCGGGAAUUGCAUUUAAGACUGUUGAACUUGAAGGUCGAAGAGGUAAGCAGAAUUCCCAGUGUAGAGGUGAAAUUCGUAGAUAUUGGGAAGAACAUCAAUGGCGUAGGCAGCUUACUGGUCGAUACUUGACACUGAGGCACGAAAGCGUGGGGAGCAAACA